rnacentral:lncRNA from 10 species
CCAAACUGUUUUCAAUAACUGCUGUACCAAUUUACCUCCCCCCCAACAACAUAUAAGGACUCCUUUUUCACAUCCUCAUCAACAAUUGUUACAAUCUGACUUUUUGAUAAUAGCCAUUCUAAGGAGUAUGAAGUGAUAUGUCAUUGUGGUUUUGAUUUGCAUUUCUCUAAAAUCAGUUUAGUAAUGUUGAGUGCAUUUUCAUAAACCUUUUGGCCAUUUGUAUGUCUUUUUUGAAAAAAUUCAGGUUGAUAUGAUUUGGCUCUUGUCCUUACCUAAAUCUCACCUUGAAUUGUAAUAAUCCCCACAUGUCAAGGGCAGGACCAGGUGGAGAUAAUUGAAUAAUGAGGGGCAGUUUUCCCUAUACUGUUCUGGUGAUAGUGAGUGAGUUCUCAUGG